rnacentral:rRNA from 1 species
GGGGCAAGCGUUGUUCGGAAUUACUGGGCGUAAAGGGUGCGCAGGCGGCGUCGCAAGUCAGGCGUGAAAUCCCCGGGCUUAACCUGGGAACUGCACUUGAAACUACGAUGCUGGAGUAUGGCAGAGGGGGGUGGAAUUCCACGUGUAGCGGUGAAAUGCGUAGAGAUGUGGAGGAACACCGAUGGCGAAGGCAGCCUCCUGGGCCAAUACUGACGCUCAUGCACGAAAGCGUGGGGAGCAAACAGG